rnacentral:rRNA from 1 species
CCUACGGGAGGCAGCAGUGGGGAAUAUUGGGCAAUGGGCGCAAGCCUGACCCAGCGACGCCGCGUGAGGGAUGAAGGCCUUCGGGUUGUAAACCUCUUUCAGUAGGGAAGAAGCGAAAGUGACGGUACCUAAAGAAGAAGCACCGGCUAACUAUGUGCCAGCAGCCGCGGUAAUACAUAGGGUGCAAGCGUUGUCCGGAAUUAUUGGGCGUAAAGAGCUCGUAGGUCGUUUGCCGCGUCGAUUGUGAAAAUCUGAGGCUCAACCUCAGACCUGCAGUCGAUACGGGCAAACUAGAGUGUGGUAGGGGAGACUGGAAUUCCUGGUGUAGCGGUGGAAUGCGCAGAUAUCAGGAGGAACACCAAUGGCGAAGGCAGGUCUCUGGGCCAUAACUGACACUGAGGAGCGAAAGCGCGGGGAGCGAACAGGAUUAGAUACCCUGGUAGUCCGCGCCGUAAACGGUGGGCACUAGCUGUGAGGACCUUCCACGGUCUUCGCGACGCAGCAAACGCAUUAAGUGCCCCGCCUGGGGAGUACGAUCGCAAGAUUAAAACUCAAAGGAAUUGACGG